CCUACGGGUGGCAGCAGUGAGGAAUAUUGGUCAAUGGCCGGAAGGCUGAACCAGCCAAGCCGGGUGAAGGACGAAGGUGCCAAGCAUUGUAAACUUCUUUUGUGAAGGGACAAAAUCAGGCUCGAGAGCCUGAACGAGGGUACGUGAAGAAAAAGCAUCGGCUAACCCCGUGCCAGCAGCCGCGGUAAUACGGAGGAUGCGAGCGUUAUCCGGAUUUAUUGGGUUUACAGGGUGCGUAGGCGGACUGUUAAGUCAGCGGUCAAAGCCCGGGGCUCAACCCCGGCGAGCCGUUGAAACUGGCUGUCUUGCGAUGUCUAGAGUUAUGCGGCAUGCGCAUUGUAGCGGUGAAAUGCUUAGAUAUUGCGCAGAACUCCGAUUGCGUAGGCAGCAUACCGGCGGCGAUCUGACGCUGAGGCACGAAAGCGUGGGUAUCGAACAGGAUUAGAUACCCCAGUAGUC
rnacentral:rRNA from 1 species